AAGGGUCUUCCUUCGAACAAACUUUGGCUCAUCUGCUUUAGCCAUUAAUCAAAGAUAGUAACCUGCAAAACGGCAAGACAUACAUGCCCCAGGGGAUCGUAUGGACAAAAUAUACUCAAGUGUGCUCAACAUUCAAAAUUAUAAAAAAUUCGGACGUUUUUUGCAAAUAAAACAGUAGAAUAAAAAAAAACAAGAGAGCAAUUUGACUGAAUAACGACUUUUAUUGAUUGAAAAAGGCCUAGAAAGGC
rnacentral:lncRNA from 1 species